GAUGAACGCUGGCGGCGUGCCUAAUACAUGCAAGUCGAGCGAAUGGAUUAAGAGCUUGCUCUUAUGAAGUUAGCGGCGGACGGGUGAGUAACACGUGGGUAACCUGCCCAUAAGACUGGGAUAACUCCGGGUAACCGGGGCUAAUACCGGAUAACAUUUUGAACCGCAUGGUUCGAAAUUGAAAGGCGGCUUCGGCUGUCACUUAUGUAUGGACCCGCGUCGCAUUAGCUAGUUGGUGAGGUAACGGCUCACCAAGGCAACGAGGCGUAGCCGACCUGAGAGGGUGAUCGGCCACACUGGGACUGAGACACGGCCCAGACUCCUACGGGAGGCAGCAGUAGGGAAUCUUCCGCAAUGGACGAAAGUCUGACGGAGCAACGCCGCGUGAGUGAUGAAGGCUUUCGGGUCGUAAAACUCUGUUGUUAGGGAAGAACAAGUGCUAGUUGAAUAAGCUGGCACCUUGACGGUACCUAACCAGAAAGCCACGGCUAACUACGUGCCAGCCGCCGCAGUAA
rnacentral:rRNA from 1 species